rnacentral:misc_RNA from 1 species
UGGACAGGCUUAACACAUAUGCAGGUAUUCUAGCUCCUUAUUUGCUUGUUUACCAGUUAACAUAAUGUUGUAGACACCAAAUAGUUUGCCUUUUUCUUUCUGUCAAGGUAGGGCUUCGUUCUUUUUUAUAAUGUGUUUUCAAGUCCUCACUUGGUUGAACAAGGAUCUCAAAUCACAGCAAUCUGACUGCACAAGAAAUUAUAAAUGAAUAUGUUAGGUUUUUAGAGUUUUUGGGGAAUAAUCCAAAAGCUGUUUAUUCUUAUUUCUAAACAAUUAGUAAGGUGUUAUUCUAUCUAUUUCAGUUCAAUGGCUGGAGAAGAAGA